GGGGGUGUAGCUGAGAGGUGGAGCUCUUGCUUAGCAUGCAGGAAGUCCUGAGUUCAACCCCCAGCACUGCCU
rnacentral:tRNA from 1 species